rnacentral:rRNA from 1 species
ACUUUCAACAAUGGAUCUCUUGGCUCUCGCAUCGAUGAAGAACGCAGCGAAAUGCGAUAAGUAAUAUGAAUUGCAGAAUUCCGUGAAUCAUCAAGUCUUUGAACGCAAAUUGCACUUCUUGGUAUUCCGAGGAGUACACAUGCUUGAGGGUCAGU